rnacentral:tRNA from 1 species
GCGGGAGUGGAGUCUCAAUCCCCUCAAAGUCGGGUCAAUGAUUUUUACAAAAACAUUCAAUGGACAAAUAUGUCCAUGUGAAUUAAGUCUCAAUCCCCUCAAAGUCGGGUCAAUGAUUUUUACGCGGGUUCAAAUCCCGUUUCCCGCU